rnacentral:rRNA from 1 species
CACGUAGGGUGCAAGCGUUGUCCGGAAUCAUUGGGCGUAAAGAGCUCGUAGGCGGCUUAGUAAGUCGGGGUGUGAAAACCCCAGGCUCAACCUGGGGACGCCACCCGAUACUGCUAUAGCUAGAGUCCAGUAGGGGAGUGUGGAAUUCCCAGUGUAGCGGUGAAAUGCGUAGAUAUGUGGAGGAACACCAAUUGCGAAGGCAGCUCGCUGGGACGUUACUGACGCUGAGACGCGAAAGCGUGGGGAGCAAACAGG